rnacentral:rRNA from 1 species
UACGUAGGGUGCAAGCGUUGUCCGGAAUUAUUGGGCGUAAAGAGCUCGUAGGCGGCUUGUUGCGUCAGCUGUGAAAACCCGCAGCUCAACUGUGGGCUUGCAGCUGAUACGGGCAGGCUUGAGUUCGGUAGGGGAGACUGGAAUUCCUGGUGUAGCGGUGAAAUGCGCAGAUAUCAGGAGGAACACCGGUGGCGAAGGCGGUUCUCUGGGCCUGUACUGACGCUGAGGAGCGAAAGCGUGGGGAGCGAACAGG